AAACUGCUGACGAGUCCCAAACAGGACGAAACAGUUGUCCAGUGU
rnacentral:hammerhead_ribozyme from 1 species